AUUUAUAAUAAUUUUAAGAAAUUUUCAAUACAUUUUUGAAAUAUAUUUUAUAUUAUAGUAAUAUUUUUUAUAUUAUACCAAAAUAUUAAAAAAUGUCUAUAUAAUCUUUAUUAGUUUUUGAAAAUGAAUUUUCAGGAUAUCUGUCAAUGUUUAUGAUAAUAAAUAUUUUGUGCUAUUUGAGAUACGAUUAUAUUUUACAUCCAUAGUUGUAAACAUAAAAAUAUAAUCGAUGUAACAUUUACUUGCAUGGAUGUGGAAUGAUAUGUAUAUAUAUUGCUGACAUAAUUUAAAAAUCUUAGGGAGUAAGGGAGUCGAUAAAAAUACCACGGAAACGUUGCAAGAUUCUUUACGACAAUAACACCGCUAGAUUAUUCGCUGCGAAGAAUCGGCGCGAGAUUAACGAUCUCAAAAGCGAGGAGCGCGGCGCUGAGAAAAAUAACGGGUUACUCGAACGAAGCAUAAAAGAAGAGAGAUAAAACGGCGAGUCGCAAUAUUGAAAAGCAUCGAUUGACGUGUACCCGGGGGCGAAUCUAAUAAUCCAUGCGCUUGGACUGAUGCCAACUCAAAGUCUGUAACACGUCGCCGUCGCCGUCGCCGCCACCGUCGUCGUGUGCACCAGGAAGUUGCAAUUGCAAUCUGUCGGAGAGUCGAUGCGCUCGGAAAUGGAUCAUCGUGCAUUUUCAACGGUUGCUUGGCCAAGUAUUCUGCCAGAAACUUGGGAGAAGCUGCUUUCACUAUUUCAAUAGAACGGCAGACUGAUUAAAAAAAAUAUUCGAUAUGACAUGGAGCAAAUGAUCGGAAAAUAAUGUCGGAAUUUUUAACCGGAAUGAAAUUCUAACACGACUUUUCAGACUUUCCGAUUUUUAUCCGAUAAGCGAAAAUCUAGAGAAGAUUAUUCGAAUAGUCCGACUGAUUUCAUUUUAUCAGCAAACUUUUUCUGUAGAUAUACUACAUCAAAUCCAGAUUUUUUUAAGCUUCGCAAACCGAUAUAUUGCACGCGAUUGAAUCGAGGAAUACAGACCAGCUGAAUUUGUCCCGACAAUAUUCCGAAGAUCGAUAAAAUCGACGUUUCGUCAUGUGAGAAAUAGUUUUAUCUUUUCCGCUGGACGUGUUUCGCGUGCGAGGUAUCGAAUUAAUGGCAGUACCCCGCUCGCGGCAUCCACAUGGAGGCACGAUCGCCGAGAGAGAGAGAGAGACGUUAUCUCGCGACUGCGACUCCCUCGAGAACCAAGUCGAGCGUAACGUUAAAAGGAAAAAGUACACGCGCGGUACCCCUUCGGAUUUAAGUUCGCGAUCCUGCGAACUCUCUCCUGCCGCAUUCGCUCCCUUGCGCAAACACGCUUCUUUAUGGUCGCCCACUAUUGGAAAUGCGGAAAUCUCAGAUAAGCAUCCUCGGGGCGCGAACAGUCGCGCAUUAUCAGCGCUAUACGUUGUGUUUGCGCUUCAACACCCCCUUCUCGCUUUGUGUCGCAGUCAAAGAGGGACCUAAUCGCGACAGGCCAACUUUCCUUCAGAUCAGUGAAUCGUGAUAUCAGUGAAUUCGAGACUUAUGGAGCAAGCGCGAUCUAUCAAGUUACGGAAGGAGUGGAUUACUAGAUAUGUAUAUUCGAGAUUGCAAGUACGAUGUACGCGAGUACGAUGAAAUAAAAAAAAUCAAGACUAUUCAAUCCUGAAUGAAAUCUGUAAUUGAAAACUUAUGUCCGAUGAUGAAUUUUAAGUUUUAAGUGCAACGCUCUACACAUACGAUACACACACGUUUGGUCACGAUACUUAAUUGUCGUUACUUUUGACAAGAAUGAAGAAUACUGAAUUCAACUAGAAAGUAUUUAUAUGAUUGUUUGUUAAAUUGUAUGUAUAAAUAUUAUAACUAAUUACAAAAUUAUGUUAAUUUUUCAAAGAAAAAGAAAUUUACCAGACAAAAUUGUCGAAUCGUAUUAAAUAAAUCGUAUUUAAAAUAAAAAAUUCAAAAUUGCUUACAAAGAACCAUUUAUACGCAAAAAUAUUUAUAUUUAUAUAAUAAGAUAUAUCUAUCUCUUCAGAAGUGUAUGAAAUUAUUUGUGAAACUCCUCGCUCGCCCAUUCUAUCCAUUUCUAUUCAUUUCUUGGUGACAGUAUUAUACGAGCUCAACCACACUGCCGUUCCUGCACGCUCAGACGCAUAAACGAUAUAAAUGACGCGAAUGCGGCGUUCUCCCCGAGGUCGAAGAUAUUGUUUCGAAGUCGAUAAGUCGGCCUCAAGGGGGACAGAGGGUGCCGGAUAAGGAUGGACGUGCCAUGGCACGGUUCGAAGAAGGAGGCGCAUAUGGAAGCUCGCUGAGAGACCACGGCGUCACCUAAGGGAUGACGGUAAUUCAAGAAAAUGGCGUCGGCAAAGACAGCAACGAAGCAACGCGUGGCUAACGUCCCCGUCGUGUCGCAUUUCUCGAGACAUUGCUUUUAUCGCGACACAUUUUAUGACAAAAUCCGUAAAGCAACGUAGUACAACCGGUAUAUUUAAUGCAAUAAAGGAUUUGCGGGGAAAAAAUGUAUGAAAUGUAAAAUUCAUUGUUAUCGCGCGUUAUUUCCGACAAUGUAACGUAAGAGUACGGCUAUAUAUAUUUACCGUAUUACAAUACACGAAAGCAUUACGCUUCAAAAAGUACUAUUAAAAAAUAGUCUAUCAAAUUACAGUCGAUAUUUGAAUAAGGCUCUUCUCGUUAGAAUAUCGCAUAUGUUAUUAUACGUUUUUACACUUUGGCACUUGUAAUAAUUAAGUUCUGUAGAUUUAUCAAUAAAUAAACUACAAAACGGAAA